UAGACAAAAUUUUGUAUUCGACUGUAUAUAUGGCAUGAAAUAGGGGAUUACAACUGUUUUUAAAUGGAAAGUGAAUCAAUUAACAUAAUAGACACAC
rnacentral:pre_miRNA from 1 species